rnacentral:rRNA from 1 species
GCUUUAGGGCUAGCCUUGAGGGUCAUUAGCGCAGGUAGAGCACUGAAUGGGCGCGGGGGCCACAAAGCCUACCAACCCCUAUCAAACUACGAAUGGCGAAUAAUGUAGACCUCAGGAGUCAGUCCGCGAGAGAUAAGUUCCGCGGGCAAAAGGGGAACACCCCAGAUCAACCGCUAAGGUCCCAAAGUGCACGUUAAGUGGAGAAGGAUGUGGAAUUGCACAGACAACCAGGAUGUUGGCUCAGAAGCAGCCAUUCAUUUAAAGAGUGCGUAAUAGCUCACUGGUCGAGUGGUUGUGCGCCGAAGAUGUCCGGGGCUAAAACGUGACACCGAAGCGAUGGAUGCGUAGCGAUACGCGUGGUAGAGGAGCAUUGUGUGCUGGGAGAAGCCAGAUCGAGAGGACUGGUGGACGGCACAGAAGAGAGAAUGCCGGUAUGAGUAGCGAGAGGCAAGCGAGAAACUUGCCCGUCGAAAGCCUAAGGUUUCCUGGGGAAGGUUCAUCCGCCCAGGGUAAGUCGGGACCUAAGCCGAGGACGGAAGUCGUAGGCGAUGGACAGCAGGUGGAAAUUCCUGCACCACCGAGGAAUGAAGCAGUGACGCAGAAGGAUAACUCGAGCAGGGUGAUGGUCAACUCUGUGCAAGCAACGAGGUUGGGGUAUAGUGAAGUACGUACUCCUCUAAGCUGAGUUGUGAUGCGGACCGAAAUUAAAGUAGGGAAGCGAGUGAGUUCACGCUGACAAGAAAAGCUGCUAGUAUAUCCGAAGGUGCCCGUACCGGAAACCGACGCAGGUGGGCGAGGAGAGAAUCCUGAGACGAACGGGAGAACCCUUGUUAAGGAACUCGGCAAAAUGACCCCGUAACUUCGGGAUAAGGGGUGCCUACGGAAGUAGGUCGCAGAGAAUAGGCUCAAGCGACUGUUUAGCAAAAACACAGGUAUCUGCGAAAGCGAGAGCUGACGUAUAGGUGCUGACACCUGCCCGGUGCUGGAAGGUUAAGGGGAACUGUUAGAGCAAUCGAAGCAGAGAACCGAAGCCCCAGUAAACGGCGGCCGUAACUAUAACGGUCCUAAGGUAGCGAAAUUCCUUGUCGGGUAAGUUCCGACCCGCACGAAUGGUGUAACGACUUGAGCGCUGUCUCAACAGGGGGCCCGGUGAAAUUGAAGUAUGGGUGAAGAUGCCCAUUACCCGCGACUGGACGGAAAGACCCCGUAGAGCUUUACUGUAGCCUGAUAUUGGAUUUCGGUAACGGAUGUACAGGAUAGGUGGGAGGCUAGGAAACCAGGACGUCAGUCUUGGCGGAGCCGCUGGUGGGAUACCACUCUUUUGUUACUGAAACUCUAACAUGGACCCGUGAAACCGGGUAAUGGACAGUGUCAGGUGGACAGUUUGACUGGGGCGGUCGCCUCCGAAAGAGUAACGGAGGCGCCCAAAGGUACCCUCAGAAUGGAUGGAAACCAUUCGCAGAGUGCAAAGGCAGAAGGGUGCCUGACUGCGAGAGUGACAAUUCGAGCAGAGACGAAAGUCGGGCUUAAUGAUCCGGCGGUAUUGAGUGGAAAAGCCGUCGCUUAACGGAUAAAAGCUACCUCGGGGAUAACAGGCUGAUCUCCCCCAAGAGUCCACAUCGACGGGGAGGUUUGGCAC